AUUGAACGCUGGCGGCAGGCUUAACACAUGCAAGUCGAGCGAGAGGCGGACGGGUGAGUAAUGUCUGGGAAACUGCCUGAGGGAGGGGGAUAACUACUGGAAACGGUAGCUAAUACCGCAUACCAUCAGAUGUGCCCAGAUGGGCUUUGCUAGUAGGUGGGGUAAUGGUUCACCUAGGCGACGAUCCCUAGCUGGUCUGAGAGGUUGACCAGCCACACUGGAGCUGAGCCACGGUCCAGAAUCCUACGGGAGGCAGCAGUGGGGAAUAUCUCACUAUGGGCGCAAGCCUGACACAGCCAUGCCGCGUGUGUGAAGAAGGCCUUCGGAUUGUAAAGCACAGUCAUCGAGGAGGCGUUACUCGCAGAAGAAGCACCGGCUAACUCGGUGCCAGCAGCCGCGGUAAUAC
rnacentral:rRNA from 1 species